rnacentral:rRNA from 1 species
GAUGAACGCUGGCGGCGUGCCUAAUACAUGCAAGUCGAGCGAACAGACGAGGAGCUUGCUCCUCUGACGUUAGCGGCGGACGGGUGAGUAACACGUGGAUAACCUACCUAUAAGACUGGGAUAACUUCGGGAAACCGGAGCUAAUACCGGAUAAUAUAUUGAACCGCAUGGUUCAAUAGUGAAAGACGGUUUUGCUGUCACUUAUAGAUGGAUCCGCGCCGCAUUAGCUAGUUGGUAAGGUAACGGCUUACCAAGGCAACGAUGCGUAGCCGACCUGAGAGGGUGAUCGGCCACACUGGAACUGAGACACGGUCCAGACUCCUACGGGAGGCAGCAGUAGGGAAUCUUCCGCAAUGGGCGAAAGCCUGACGUGGCAACGCCGCGUGAGUGAUGAAGGUCUUCGGAUCGUAAAACUCUGUUAUUAGGGAAGAACAAAUGUGUAAGUAACUAUGCACGUCUUGACGGUACCUAAUCAGAAAGCCACGGCUAACUACGUG